rnacentral:rRNA from 1 species
UUGGAGGGCAAGUCUGGUGCCAGCAGCCGCGGUAAUUCCAGCUCCAAUAGCGUAUAUUAAAGUUGUUGCAGUUAAAAAGCUCGUAGUUGAACUUCGGAAUCAAUGGAUUGGUCAUGCCGUUGGUAUGUACUGGUCAUAUUGGUUCUCACCUUCUAAGGAACCAUAACGUCAUUCAUUUGAUGUUUUGGGGAAUUAGGACUGUUACCUUGAAAAAAUUAGAGUGUUUAAAGCAGGCUAACGCUUGAAUACAUUAGCAUGGAAUAAUGAAAUAGGACAUCGCAUUCUAUUUUGUUGGUUUCUAGGAUCGAUGUAAUGAUUAAUAGGGAUAGUUGGGGGCAUUAGUAUUCAAUUGUCAGAGGUGAAAUUCUUGGAUUUAUUGAAGACUAACUACUGCGAAAGCAUUUGCCAAGGAUGUUUUCAUUAAUCAAGAACGAAAGUUAGGGGAUCGAAGACGAUCAGAUACCGUCGUAGUCUUAACCAUAAACUAUGCCGACUAGGGAUCGGAUGAUGUUGAUUUUUUAAUGACUCAUUCGGCGCCUUACGGGAAAC